CAAUAGCGUAUAUUAAAGUUGUUGCAGUUAAAAAGCUCGUAGUUGGAUUUGUGGCUGUCACGGGCGGCCUAUCACUUAGUGUUAGUGCUUGCCUGUGUCGCCAUCCUUGGGUGGAGCCCGUGUGGCAUUAGGUUGUCGUGCGGGGGAUGCCCAUCGUUUACUGUGAGAAAAUUAGAGUGUUCAAAGCAGGCUUAUGCCGUUGAAUAUGUUAGCAUGGAAUAAUAAGAUAGGACCUCGGUACUAUUUUGUUGGUUUGCGCACCGAGGUAAUGAUUAAUAGGGACAGUUGGGGGUAUUCGUGUUUCAUUGUCAGAGGUGAAAUUCUUGGAUUUCUGAAAGACGAACUACUGCGAAAGCAUUUACCAAGGAUGUUUUCAUUAA
rnacentral:rRNA from 1 species